GGCCCUAUCGUCUAGUGGACUAGGACGGGUGGUUCUCAGCCAUCAAACCGGGGUUCGAUUCCCCGUAGCGCUACCA
rnacentral:tRNA from 1 species